AUUGAACGCUGGCGGCAGGCCUAACACAUGCAAGUCGAGCGAGAAAGGUCUUCGGACUGAGUACAGCGGCGGACGGGUGAGUAAAGCGUAGGAAUCUACCUGGUAGUGGGGGAUAACUUGGGGAAACUCAAACUAAUACCGCAUACGCCCUACGGGGAAAGCGGGGACCGUUCGGGCCUCGCGCCAUCAGAUGAGCCUGCGUAGGAUUAGCUAGUUGGUGAGGUAAAGGCUCACCAAGGCGACGAUCCUUAGCUGGUCUGAGAGGAUGAUCAGCCACACUGGGACUGAGACACGGCCCAGACUCCUACGGGAGGCAGCAGUGGGGAAUAUUGCGCAAUGGGCGAAAGCCUGACGCAGCCAUUGCGCGNGUGUGAGAAGGACGUA
rnacentral:rRNA from 1 species